rnacentral:rRNA from 1 species
GAUGAACGCUGGCGGCGUGCCUAAUACAUGCCAGUCGAGCGAACAGACGAGGAGCUUGCUCCUCUGACGUUAGCGGCGGACGGGUGAGUAACACGUGGAUAACCUACCUAUAAGACUGGGAUAACUUCGGGAAACCGGAGCUAAUACCGGAUAAUAUAUUGAACCGCAUGGUUCAAUAGUGAAAGACGGUUUUGCUGUCACUUAUAGAUGGAUCCGCGCCGCAUUAGCUAGUUGGUAAGGUAACGGCUUACCAAGGCAACGAUGCGUAGCCGACCUGAGAGGGUGAUCGGCCACACGGGAACUGAGACACGGUCCAGACUCCUACGGGAGGCAGCAGUAGGGAAUCUUCCGCAAUGGGCGAAAGCCUGACGGAGCAACGCCGCGUGAGUGAUGAAGGUCUUCGGAUCGUAAAACUCUGUUAUUAGGGAAGAACAAAUGUGUAAGUAACUAUGCACGUCUUGACGGUACCUAAUCAGAAAGCCACGGCUAACUACGUG